UACGGGGGGGGCAAGCGUUGUUCGGAAUUACUGGGCGUAAAGGGCUCGUAGGUGGCCAACUAAGUCAGACGUGAAAUCCCUCGGCUUAACCGGGGAACUGCGUCUGAUACUGGAUGGCUUGAGUCCGGGAGAGGGAUGCGGAAUUCCAGGUGUAGCGGUGAAAUGCGUAGAUAUCUGGAGGAACACCGGUGGCGAAGGCGGCAUCCUGGACCGGCAUUGACGCUGAGGCGCGAAAGCCAGGGGAGCAAACGGG
rnacentral:rRNA from 1 species